AACGUAGGGGGCGAGCGUUGCCCGGAUUCACUGGGCGUAAAGCGCGUGUAGGCGGUCCGUUAAGUCGGAUGUGAAAUCUCUGGGCUCAACCCAGAAAUCGCAUCCGAUACUGGCGGACUUGAGGAUGGUAGAGGUUGGUGGAAUUCCCGGUGUACCGGUGAAAUGGACAGAUAUCGGGAGGAACACCAGUGGCGAAGGCGGCCAACUGGGCCAUUCCUGACGCUGAGACGCGAAAGCGUGGGGAGCGAACAGG
rnacentral:rRNA from 1 species